rnacentral:rRNA from 1 species
UGGGGAAUAUUGCACAAUGGGCGAAAGCCUGAUGCAGCGACGCCGCGUGAGGGAUGACGGCCUUCGGGUUGUAAACCUCUUUCAGCAGGGAAGAAGCGAAAGUGACGGUACCUGCAGAAGAAGCGCCGGCUAACUACGUGCCAGCAGCCGCGGUAAUACGUAGGGCGCAAGCGUUGUCCGGAAUUAUUGGGCGUAAAGAGCUCGUAGGCGGUUAGUCGCGUCUGCUGUGAAAACUCGAGGCUCAACCUCGGGCUUGCAGUGGGUACGGGCUGACUAGAGUGCGGUAGGGGUGACUGGAAUUCCUGGUGUAGCGGUGGAAUGCGCAGAUAUCAGGAGGAACACCGAUGGCGAAGGCAGGUCACUGGGCCGCAACUGACGCUGAGGAGCGAAAGCAUGGGGAGCGAACAGGAUUAGAUAGCCCUGGUAGUCCAUGCCGUAAACGUUGGGCACUAGGUGUGGGGUCCAUUCCACGGAUUCCGUGCCGCAGCAAACGCAUUAAGUGCCCCGCCUGGGGAGUACGGCCGCAAGGCUAAAACUCAAAGGAAUUGACGGGGUCAUAGCUGUUUCCU